rnacentral:rRNA from 1 species
AUACGGAGGGUGCGAACGUUAAUCGGAAUUACUGGGCGUAAGGCGCGCGUAGGCGGUUUGGUCAGUCGGAUGUGAAAGCCCUAGGCUCAACCUGGGAAUUGCAUUCGAUACUGCCUGACUAGAGUAUGGUAGAGGGAAGUGGAAUUACCGGUGUAGCGGUGAAAUGCGUAGAUAUCGGUAGGAACACCAGUGGCGAAGGCGACUUCCUGGGCCAAUACUGACGCUGAGGUGCGAAAGCGUGGGGAGCAAACAGGAUUAGAAACCCCGGUAGUCC